rnacentral:ncRNA from 2 species
AGCCUGUAGGAGGUAACGGGUGCCCUUAACCUUUAAAGGGUAGGGGUUAAAAGGGAAGCCGGUGAGAAUCCGGCGCGGUCCCGCCACUGUGAAGGGGAGGGGCCUUACAUUUAGGUCACUGGGGUUUUAAGCCCUGGGAAGACGUAAGGUUCCGGUGAACCUGAGCCAGGAAACCUGCCCGUUGACCUUUAACUUA